CCUACGGGAGGCAGCAGUGGGGAAUAUUGGGCAAUGGGCGCAAGCCUGACCCAGCAACGCCGCGUGAAGGAAGAAGGCUUUCGGGUUGUAAACUUCUUUUGUCAGGGAAGAGUAGAAGACGGUACCUGACGAAUAAGCCACGGCUAACUACGUGCCAGCAGCCGCUGUAAUACGUAGGUGGCAAGCGUUUUCCGGAUUUACUGGGUGUAAAGGGCGUGUAGCCGGGUUGACAAGUCAGAUGUGAAAUCCUUCGGCUUAACCGCAGAACUGCAUUUGAAACUGUUGAUCGUGAGUACUGGAGAGGCAGACGGAAUUCCAAGUGUAGCGGUGAAAUGCGUAGAUAUUAGGAGGAAGACCAGUGGCGAAGGCGGUCUGCUGGACAGCAACUGACGGUGAGGCGCGAAAGCGUGGGGAGCAAACAGGAUUAGAUACCCCUGUAGUG
rnacentral:rRNA from 1 species